CUUGUUGAGGCUUUUUCUUGAAUCUUGAGAGACCACCAAGAAAAUAAGCAUAAUAUACUAUAUAGUCAGUCAUAUAAGAAAAUAAAAUAGUCAUUGUGGAGGACUAGGCCCCCUCUCUCUCAUACUUCUCUUUGGUCGUCCUCGUUAUUUUCAGUGCUAAAGCUACUUUUUUUUUUUUUUUUUCCAUAGAGAGAGACUGUAAAAGCCUCCAAAGGCACUUCUAAUAAAGCCUUAGAAGAAGACAACAUUAUCCCUCCAAAACCUACCAGCCUUUUCAUUAUUUUACUCUUAAAAUGACCUGUCUAUCAUGUGCUUUUCCUCAUUUAUCUCUUUGUUUAUCUUUUCUCUUCCCUCCAUUUACUCCCUUUGUCUCACCUAUACUUUGAUAUAUAUCAUUUGAAAACUUGAGUACUUUGCAGCCUUGCUUGAUGGGUUUUGAUUGUUGAAUCAUGAGAAUAAAGAGGUAGCCAGCUAGCUCUACCUCAAGAAUCCUUGGAAGAAGGAAAAGGGGUGUUUGGAAUGAAGUUUGAUCCAAGAUCCUUGUUUCUCCUUUCCUGUUUGGUUUUGGUCUGUUUUCUUUUGUUUCAAGAUGGGGAUUGAGUUUAAUUUUGAGUCUUAGUGUUGGUUUAAUUAGUUGUUGCAUGAACAGAGAGAUUGAAGAAGGAAGAUUUUUCUUGUAAAGUUUCAAAAUCCUCUCCUCUUCUCUCCUCUCUCUGUGUAUGUCUGUGAGAGAGAUUGAAGAAGGGAGGGCUUCUGAUAAAAAGUUGAUUCAAGAUUCUUUUCUUUCUUUCUUCUCUUUCUAUGUGUGUGCCUCUAGAGAGAGAGAGAGAGAGCUUGAAAAUUUUACAUUUAUGUUCAUGUCCUUUUCCAUUUUUUUUCACUCUUGAUCUUGGAAAUAAAUACUUGAUAAUUUCAUAGAUUGAUCUCGGACCAGGCUUCAUUCCUCACACCAAGCUUUUCCAUGCGGAAAUACGAUAAGAUCCCCAAAGUUGCUUAGCCAUUCCUGUGCAGAAGCAUUCUGAAAUGGGUUGCCGUAUGCUUGUUUUUCCUUGGCAUAUGCAGAAGGCGAUGAUGACUGAAAUUUCUUCUUCAUGAUCAUUUAGAGACUCCCCAUGAAGUGAAAAAAGGGUCUUCCGAGGAAAGGAAUCGACAUGAGUGAAUAAGGAAAGACUAAUUAUGAGAUAGGGAAAAGGGCGUAGCAGCAGAGUGAGCUGCUCCAGUAAUAGGGGAGCACAGUUUGAAGAUUUUUGUAUGGGUAUUUAUUUAUACCCUUAUAAAUUUAACUUGAUGUAAAUAAUCUUUUGUUCAUAUGUAUCUAAGUAGUUAGAUGAGCAGUUGUACAUUAAAGUUUGUAAUAUUAUUAUUUUUUAUUUUCCUUUUGUAAAUUAAGACUUGUGUAUAUAAAUUUAAUUUAAUGGAAUGUUUAUGAGUUUAUCGAAUUAUUUUGAAUAAAAAAAUUUUGAGUUGUGAAUUUUGAAUUGAAA